rnacentral:rRNA from 1 species
GACGGAAGGUGCAAGCGUUGCUCGGAAUCACUGGGCGUAAAGGGUGCGUAGGCGGCCGUGCAAGUCUGGCGUGAAAGCCCUGGGCUCAGCCCGGGAAGUGCGCUCGAAACUGCGCGGCUCGAGUGCCGGAGAGGGUGGCGGAAUUCCCCAAGUAGAGGUGAAAUUCGUAGAUAUGGGGAGGAACACCGGUGGCGAAGGCGGCCACCUGGACGGUCACUGACGCUGAGACGCGAAAGCGUGGGUAGCAAACAGG